UUGACACUGACUUGCUCUUUGGCCAAUGAUUGUGGCUGCACCUGAUUCAUUUUGGUGCAGCAACAGCCAUUGGUCAUAAAGCAAACCAGCCUCCUCACCUAAAA